GACGAACGCUGGCGGCGUGCCUAAUACAUGCAAGUCGAGCGGAACUGGGGGAGCUUGCUCCUUCCAGUUUAGCGGCGGACGGGUGAGUAACACGUGGGCAACCUGCCCUGCAGAUCGGGAUAACUCCGGGAAACCGGUGCUAAUACCGAAUAGUUUGGCGCCUCUCCUGAGGCGCUACGGAAAGACGGUUUCGGCUGUCACUGCAGGAUGGGCCCGCGGCGCAUUAGCUAGUUGGUGGGGUAACGGCCCACCAAGGCGACGAUGCGUAGCCGACCUGAGAGGGUGACCGGCCACACGGGGACUGAGACACGGCCCAGACUCCUACGGGAGGCAGCAGUAGGGAAUCUUCCGCAAUGGACGCAAGUCUGAUGGAGCAACGCCGCGUGAGUGACGAAGGUUUUCGGAUCGCAAAACUCUGUUGUGAGGGAAGAACACGUACCAACUAACUAUUGGUACCUUGACGGUACCUCACCAGAAAGCCACGGCUAACUACGUGCCAGCCGCCGCGGUAA
rnacentral:rRNA from 1 species